rnacentral:rRNA from 1 species
CGGCGCAUUAGCUAGUUGGAGAGGUAAACUCACCAAGACGAGCGAUGCGUAUCCGACCUGAGAGGGUGAUCGGCCACAUUGGAACUGACACGGUCCAGACUCCUACGGGAGGCAGCAGUGGGGAAUAUUGCACAAUGGGCGAAACUGAUGCAGCAACGCCGCGUGAGUGAAGAAGGCCUUCGGGUUGUAAAGUUCUGUCUUUGGACGAUAAUGACGGUACCAAAGGAGGAAGCCACGGCUAACUACGUGCCAGCAGCCGCUAAUACGUAGGUGGCGAGCGUUGUCCGGAUUUACUGGGCGUAAAGGAUGCGUAGGCGGUUUUAAGUGAGAUGUGAAAACCCUGAGCUUAACUUAGGGAGUGCAUUUCAUACUGGAACUAGAGUGCGGGAGAGGAAAGUGGAAUUCCUAGUGUAGCGGUGAAAUGCGUAGAGAUUGAAGAACACCAGUGGCGAAGGCGACUCUCUGGACCGUAACUGACGCUGAGGCAUGAAAGUGGGUAGCAAACAGGAUUAGAUACCCUGGUAGUCCACGCCGUAAACGAUGAGUACUA